rnacentral:rRNA from 1 species
UACAGAGGGUGCGAGCGUUAAUCGGAAUUACUGGGCGUAAAGCGUGCGCAGGCGGUUCGUGAUGUCUGGUGUGAAAGCCCCGGGCUUAACCUGGGAAUUGCAUUGGAAACUAGCGGGCUGGAGUGUGGCAGAGGGGGGUGGAAUUCCACGUGUAGCAGUGAAAUGCGUAGAGAUGUGGAGGAACACGGAUGGCAAAGGCGGCCCCCGGGGCUAACACUGACGCUCAUGCCCGAAAGCGUGGGAGCAAACAGG